GAAAAGAUAUCCGAGUGCUUCGUAAACUGUGCUUACAUGAAGACAGCUCGGGUAGGAUUUAAAUAACAUAACAAUUACGGAGCACGGUGCCUGCAGCUUUUAUGAGACCUCUCACAAUGGCCGGUUCUCGAGAAUGCUGAAGGUUAACUUUAGAGAAGGAGAAACAGAGAAAGGAAGAGGCCAGCAUCAAAG